rnacentral:lncRNA from 1 species
UCAAUGUCUGCAGACACUACACUUAAGCACACCAGAGAUAUAACGUCUGUCACAUUUGCUGGGACAGCUAUUUGUUACUGCUUCUCUAGACAGCACUUUAAAGGUUAACACUUCAUUGCCAUAGAUCUAAGUUACAUCUCAGUCCAGCACUUUAUAGUUCCAACAAUUCCUUCUCCGUUUCUCUUUCUUAUAGGUUUGGGCUACAACUGAGAGUGGAAACUUUGCUGUGAUCUUUGAGCUUUAUAAAGAAUGUGUAAGCUAAAAUUAUAUUAGUUAUAUGACUUUCCAUAGAAAUUGUUAUUUGUGCGUUCUGUUGUGUUCUGUCUCUUUUAAUCUUUUAACUUCUUAUGUGUAAUCAUAUGCUAAAACUCCUUAAGUUACAUCUUUCUGGGAGUUGUUGCUCUUUGUGGAUGCCAAAGCUCAGCCUAUUCCGCUCUGCUCAUCAUAUAGCGACAUUGCUGUUCACCUAUAUGACUUGCCCUUGUUAGUAUCAUCAAACUACAGCCAUUUCUGUUGGUACUAUUCACACCAUUUGUGGAGGUUUAUUGACUGUUUUAGGUUCUCUGAGAGGGGAAGAAUAUUUACAAUGCGGGAAGUCCAAGUGUUUCAAAUUGGUAUGGUGGUCUCUUUUUUACUGGGGAUGCAACAGGCAGCCCUCAGUCUGGGAAUUGCUUGGAGUUCCCACUGCAUCUUGAGAACUGUUCCCAGGGACGGAUGUGGGGGGGG